GAAGAAAGAACGAUUUCAAGUGACCUCGAAUCAAUUACGGAAUUGAAAUUAUGUUAAGACCAAGUAAAAAUUAUCUCAUCUAAGCCUGAAGAGAGAGUUUCCGUUUUUUUCAAAUACAACCUAGAAUUGAUGAAGACAAGGAAAAUAAAGAAUUAAAACUAAGAAAAUAAGGAAAAAAAUAUAAACAAAAAUAAAGAUUAGGAAAUUAGGUAAAAAUUGACACGUGGCAAGCAGUAAUAGGUGCGUGUUUGCACCUUCUUUCUUAUAAUUGACUAAAAAUGAGAUAUUUAUAUAUAUUACUUUAAAUUGUU
rnacentral:lncRNA from 1 species